CAACGAGCGCAACCCCUGCUGCCAGUUGCCAACGGGUGAAGCCGGGCACUCUGGCGGGACUGCCAUCGACAAGAUGGAGGAAGGUGGGGAUGACGUCAAGUCAUCAUGGCCCUUAUGUCCAGGGCGACACACGUGCUACAGUGGCCGGCACAGCGGGAAGCGAGGCAGUGAUGCCGAGCGGAUCCCUUAAAGCCGGUCUCAGUUCGGAUUGAAGUCUGCAACUCGACUUCAUGAAGCUGGAAUCGCUAGUAAUCGCAGAUCAGCCAAGCUGCGGUGAAUACGUUCCCGGGCCUU
rnacentral:rRNA from 1 species